AAAGUAUUCCCUCCGUCCCAAAAUUCUUGUCUUAGAUUUGUCUAGAUACGGAUGUAUCAAGUCACAUUUUAGUAUUAGAUACAUCCGUAUCUAGACAAAUCUAAGACAAGAAAUUUGGGAUAGAGGGAGUAGUUG
rnacentral:pre_miRNA from 1 species